rnacentral:lncRNA from 10 species
GCAUAUACAGAACGGGGCAUGGUGGCUCACACCUGUAAUCUCAGCUUUGGAGGCUGAGGCAGGAGGAUUGCUUGAUCCCAGUAGUUUGAGACGAGCCUCGACAACAAGUGAGACCCCAUCUCUACAAAAAUUUUAACAAAUUAAAAAAUUAGCCAAGUGUGGUGGCACAUGCCUGUAGUACCAGCUACUUGGGAGGCUGAGGUGGGAGGAUCACACAGCCCAGGAGCAAGAGCCUGUCUUAAAAAGAAAAACAAAAACAAAGAGAAGCAAUUGGAAAGAAACAGAUACUAUGUAAAGAGAAGAAAAUUUUACCCAAAA